GCCUCAAUGCCCAAGCGAACAGAGGACAAACCGAGCAGACACAGGGAACCUUGCUGGUCUCAGGGAGCUUGGCCCAGCAACCAUGAGGCUGGUCCCCGCAAUCAGGCUGCUGCAAGCCCCCCUGAGCGGCUGGGUGGUCCCCAGAGCACACAUAUACGCCAAACCGGCCAAAACACCCACCUCUCCCACGGAGCAAGCCGUGGCGCUGAGCGUGACGUUCCUCAGCUUCCUGAUCCCUGCGGGCUGGGUCCUGUCCCACCUGGAGAGCUACAAGAAGUCUGCCGCAUGAAGGCUGUGCUUCCGCCACCCAAGACACGCAUGGGGAGGGGGUCACAUUAAAGCUCUCCCCCAACCUGAGACUCCUUGGUGAUUCUUCUCUCGUGCACCCCCAACCCGACUCACAGCACAGGGCCGGCUUGUGUCAGCGCCGGGGCACUCAGGUCGCGGGAGCUGCCGGCUAGGUGUCAAGUGUGACCUGGACGC